rnacentral:lncRNA from 1 species
CAGCCAAGAGCCUUGGUGACAUUUCAGACUGCCGCUGCCUCCCCUGCCCAUCCACAGAGAGACGCAUCUCUUGCUCUGCACCUCUCCUCUUUGCACACCUCUGUGUCUGUGCUGGCACCAGGGGCAGGUGCCUGGAAGGAGGGGGGCCUUUCUCCAUGGAUUUCCACCGGUUCCUUGUGGCCAUGCUGCUCCCUGUGGGCUGAGCCCUUCAGCAAUCACCAAGAUACAGUUGUCCAGGUGGGAGACACCGUCACUCUGGAAUGUUCUGUACAGGGCAACAUAGUCAAGACCAUGUACUGGUACAAGUUACCCAUGGAGAAGGAUGCCAGAAUGCAGCUGGUUUUAAAUUCAGUGGAAGGCGGCAAAGCAGAUAUUGAGAAGGAAUUCCAAAAUCGCUUCCAGAGUAACGGGACUAGGAACAACCAUUUAGCUGUGCAGAUACAGCAUGCCCUACUCAAUGACACAGGCACAUAUUUCUGUGCUGAACAAGAUCCACAGUGAGUCAAAGGCUGGUGCAGCACAGCACAAACCUUUCCAGGCAAACAGGGAUCUGCCACCAGCACACACUGAGCCCUCUGCUUGAGAGAGUCCCGUUUUCUUAGUUGGCCUCCAGGUGUUCAGAAAAGACACUGUGUGUCUGUUGGCCAUCUGUCUGUAUUUACCAUGGUCUAUAUCUGCUUUUCUGCUCUUUCCCAUCUCUGAAUCACCUUCUGACUCUGUUUUCUUCUUGUCUUCACUACCUCCACUCAUUUCUUUGCCAUUCUCAGACUGCUUCUCUCUUUUUUCCUUCUGCAUCUCUCUGGGUCCCNGUGUAGCACAAAGAUACCUGUGCGCAGACCAUCUCUAUAUGCAGCAAACCCAGUGGAAAACCAUACAACUAGGGAUUCAACACUUGAGGGAAAUGGCAGUGGCUGAGAUUGUCUUCUCAGAUGAUGGAAACACUGUAAAUCCAGACUUGGUACCAUGCACAUCUGUGAUGUGGAGAAAACUUGUAUGACUGGGGCCACGAGAAU